rnacentral:rRNA from 1 species
GGUUAAGCGACUAAGCGUACACGGUGGAUGCCCUGGCAGUCAGAGGCGAUGAAGGACGUGCUAAUCUGCGAAAAGCGUCGGUAAGGUGAUAUGAACCGUUAUAACCGGCGAUGUCCGAAUGGGGAAACCCAGUGCAAUUCGUUGCACUAUCGUUAACUGAAUACAUAGGUUAACGAGGCGAACCGGGGGAACUGAAACAUCUAAGUACCCCGAGGAAAAGAAAUCAACCGAGAUUCCCCCAGUAGCGGCGAGCGAACGGGGAGCAGCCCAGAGUCUGAAUCAGCUUGUGUGUUAGUGGAACGGUCUGGAAAGUCCGACGGUACAGGGUGAUAGUCCCGUACACCAAAAUGCACAGGCUGUGAACUCGAAGAGUAGGGCGGGACACGUGGUAUCCUGUCUGAAUAUGGGGGGACCAUCCUCCAAGGCUAAAUACUCCUGACUGACCGAUAGUGAACCAGUACCGUGAGGGAAAGGCGAAAAGAACCCCGGCGAGGGGAGUGAAAAAGAACCUGAAACCGUGUACGUACAAGCAGUGGGAGCACCUUCGGGUGUGACUGCGUACCUUUUGUAUAAUGGGUCAGCGACUUAUAUUCUGUAGCAAGGUUAACCGUAUAGGGGAGCCGCAGGGAAACCGAGUCUUAACUGGGCGUUAAGUUGCAGGGUAUAGACCCGAAACCCGGUGAUCUAGCCAUGGGCAGGUUGAAGGUUGGGUAACACUAACUGGAGGACCGAACCGACUAAUGUUGAAAAAUUAGCGGAUGACUUGUGGCUGGGGGUGAAAGGCCAAUCAAACCGGGAGAUAGCUGGUUCUCCCCGAAAGCUAUUUAGGUAGCGCCUCGUGAAUUCAUCUUCGGGGGUAGAGCACUGUUUCGGCUAGGGGGUCAUCCCGACUUACCAACCCGAUGCAAACUACGAAUACCGAAGAAUGUUAUCACGGGAGACACACGGCGGGUGCUAACGUCCGUCGUGAAGAGGGAAACAACCCAGACCGCCAGCUAAGGUCCCAAAGUCAUGGUUAAGUGGGAAACGAUGUGGGAAGGCACAGACAGCCAGGAUGUUGGCUUAGAAGCAGCCAUCAUUUAAAGAAAGCGUAAUAGCUCACUGGUCGAGUCGGCCUGCGCGGAAGAUGUAACGGGGCUAAACCAUGCACCGAAGCUGCGGCAGCGACACUAUGUGUUGUUGGGUAGGGGAGCGUUCUGUAAGCCUGCGAAGGUGACCUGUGAGGGUUGCUGGAGGUAUCAGAAGUGCGAAUGCUGACAUAAGUAACGAUAAAGCGGGUGAAAAGCCCGCUCGCCGGAAGACCAAGGGUUCCUGUCCAACGUUAAUCGGGGCAGGGUGAGUCGACCCCUAAGGCGAGGCCGAAAGGCGUAGUCGAUGGGAAACAGGUUAAUAUUCCUGUACUUGGUGUUACUGCGAAGGGGGGACGGAGAAGGCUAUGUUAGCCGGGCGACGGUUGUCCCGGUUUAAGCAUGUAGGCUGGUUGUCCAGGCAAAUCCGGAUAAUCAAGGCUGAGGUGUGAUGACGAGGCACUACGGUGCUGAAGUAACAAAUGCCCUGCUUCCAGGAAAAGCCUCUAAGCAUCAGGUAACAUCAAAUCGUACCCCAAACCGACACAGGUGGUCAGGUAGAGAAUACCAAGGCGCUUGAGAGAACUCGGGUGAAGGAACUAGGCAAAAUGGUGCCGUAACUUCGGGAGAAGGCACGCUGGUGUGUAGGUGAAGUCCCUGCGGAUGGAGCUGAGACCAGUCGAAGAUACCAGCUGGCUGCAACUGUUUAUUAAAAACACAGCACUGUGCAAACACGAAAGUGGACGUAUACGGUGUGACGCCUGCCCGGUGCCGGAAGGUUAAUUGAUGGGGUUAUCCGUAAGGAGAAGCUCUUGAUCGAAGCCCCGGUAAACGGCGGCCGUAACUAUAACGGUCCUAAGGUAGCGAAAUUCCUUGUCGGGUAAGUUCCGACCUGCACGAAUGGCGUAAUGAUGGCCAGGCUGUCUCCACCCGAGACUCAGUGAAAUUGAACUCGCUGUGAAGAUGCAGUGUACCCGCGGCAAGACGGAAAGACCCCGUGAACCUUUACUAUAGCUUGACACUGAACAUUGAGCCUUGAUGUGUAGGAUAGGUGGGAGGCUUUGAAGCGUGGACGCCAGUCUGCGUGGAGCCAACCUUGAAAUACCACCCUUUAAUGUUUGAUGUUCUAACGUUGGCCCCUGACCGGGGUUGCGGACAGUGUCUGGUGGGUAGUUUGACUGGGGCGGUCUCCUCCCAAAGCGUAACGGAGGAGCACGAAGGUUAGCUAAUCCUGGUCGGACAUCAGGAGGUUAGUGCAAUGGCAUAAGCUAGCUUGACUGCGAGCGUGACGGCGCGAGCAGGUGCGAAAGCAGGUCAUAGUGAUCCGGUGGUUCUGAAUGGAAGGGCCAUCGCUCAACGGAUAAAAGGUACUCCGGGGAUAACAGGCUGAUACCGCCCAAGAGUUCAUAUCGACGGCGGUGUUUGGCACCUCGAUGUCGGCUCAUCACAUCCUGGGGCUGAAGUAGGUCCCAAGGGUAUGGCUGUUCGCCAUUUAAAGUGGUACGCGAGCUGGGUUUAGAACGUCGUGAGACAGUUCGGUCCCUAUCUGCCGUGGGCGCUGGAGAAUUGAGGGGGGCUGCUCCUAGUACGAGAGGACCGGAGUGGACGCAUCACUGGUGUUCGGGUUGUCAUGCCAAUGGCACUGCCCGGUAGCUAAAUGCGGAAGAGAUAAGUGCUGAAAGCAUCUAAGCACGAAACUUGCCCCGAGAUGAGUUCUCCCUGAGACUUUAAGUCUCCUGAAGGAACGUU